UUCACAUCUGCCUGAACUGCAUAUAUUGCA
rnacentral:piRNA from 1 species